UUAUAACAUCUUGUUUGGUGAAAGUAUUUUAACAGUUUGUGAACUCUGGUCAUGAUUAUCAGUUUAUCUUGGCUAUUGCAGGACAAAAGGAUUAAAUGUUACCCAUGUCCUGUGUCAAAUCCAUCUGAUCAAUUCUCAAACCUCGGUCUUGUCACGCACCUAAUGCUUUCAUGGUGCAGUUUACUUAAAUUCUCCCAUCUGAUGACUCACAGUUCAACUGUUUGAUAUUAUUUCAUGGAAAUGGUUGCGCUACAGUGCUGUUGCAUAUUGUUUUUUGUGUAUUGUUUGAUGUCGAAGGUUGAUGCAUGCUUUUUUAAACAUCAGGUACCCAAAUAAAUUGUGCAAUGUUGCUGCAAGGAGCCUCGUAAACCAGUACCCAGCACUGAGGGACACAUUGCACCUUGGCCAUUUCUCAUGGUAUAUGUGCCUAAGAAACAAGUACAAAAACACGCGAAAGUCAAUGCCACCAGGAUGCCCUGAAGUCGAUGCAGAAGUGAAAGCAAGAAAGGCAAGCGAAAUUGUGACACAUGCUCAAAAUCUGGAUUUUGAAGACAGAUCUUAACCGGAGCAGGCAGCAUUUGACGCAAACAUGGAGGCAGUGCUAACGGAAACAUUUAGGAGGU